rnacentral:rRNA from 1 species
AACGAACGCUGGCGGCAGGCUUAACACAUGCAAGUCGAACGAGAUCUUCGGAUCUAGUGGCAGACGGGUGAGGAACACGUGGGAACGUACCUUUCAGUCAGGAAUAACUCAUGGAAACGUGAGCUAAUACCCGAUACGCCCUUUUGGGGAAAGAUUUAUCGCUGAAAGAUCGGCCCGCGUCUGAUUAGCUAGUUGGUGGGGUAAUGGCCUACCAAGGCGACGAUCAGUAGCUGGUCUGAGAGGAUGAUCAGCCACACUGGGACUGAGACACGGCCCAGACUCCUACGGGAGGCAGCAGUGGGGAAUAUUGGACAAUGGGCGCAAGCCUGAUCCAGCCAUGCCGCGUGAGUGAUGACGGCCUUAGGGUUGUAAAGCUCUUUCGACGGGGACGAUAAUGACGGUACCCGUAGAAGAAGCCCCGGCUAACUUCGUGCCAGCAGCCGCCGUAA